AUUGAACGCUAGCGGGAUGCUUUACACAUGCAAGUCGAACGAGUGGCGGACGGGUGAGUAAUAUAUCGGAACGUGCCCCGUAGCGGGGGAUAAAUACUCGAAAGCGUGGCUAAUACCGCCUACUAUUGGAGCGGCCUAUAUCGGAUUAGCUAGUUGGGGGGGUAAUGGCUCACAAAGGCAACGAUCCGUAGCCGGUUUGAGGGGACGACCGGCCACACUGGGACUGAGACACGGCCCAGACUCCUACGGGAGGCAGCAGUGGGGAAUUUUGGACAAUGGGGGCAACCCUGAUCCAGCCAUCCCGCGUGUAUGAGAAGGCCUUCGGGUUGUAAAGUACUUUUGGCAGAGAAGCGGUAUCUACAGAAUAAGCACCGGCUAACUACGUGCCAGCAGCCGCGGUAAUAC
rnacentral:rRNA from 1 species